rnacentral:rRNA from 4 species
GCCUUGUACACACCGCCCGUCACACCAUGGGAGUGGGUUGCAAAAGAAGUAGGUAGCUUAACCUUCGGGAGGGCGCUUACCACUUUGUGAUUCAUGACUGGGGUGAAGUCGUAACAAGGUAACCGUAGGGGAACCUGCGGUUGGAUCACCUCCUUACCUUAAAGAA